rnacentral:rRNA from 1 species
UACAGAGGGUGCAAGCGUUGUUCGGAAUUAUUGGGCGUAAAGCGCGCGCAGGUGGUUUCUUAAGUCUGAUGUGAAAGCCCACGGCUCAACCGUGGAGGGUCAUUGGAAACUGGGGAACUUGAGUGCAGGAGAGAAGAGUGGAAUUCCACGUGUAGCGGUGAAAUGCGUAGAGAUGUGGAGGAACACCAGUGGCGAAGGCGACUCUUUGGCCUGUAACUGACACUGAGGCGCGAAAGCGUGGGGAGCAAACAGG